ACACCCAACAGUCAGUCACCAGCAUCACAUACACCGGCGCUACUGGCGCAUCUUAGAGUGCGCCACCGGAUAGAUGUCCAAUUAGAACCCUAAACCACAAAUCAGUUUUGCCGCCGAUGUUAUCUGCUUCAUCCAUCCAUUAAGAAGGGAAAAAAGGAUAAUUGGAGAACUUGAUAAUGAGUCAUCUGUUAAUAGGGGUGUAAGCUGCCUGGAGUAUUUGGUGCUAGAUGUGUGGAGGGUAAAAUGCUUUCUGCCAAAUAUGCCCGUGAAAACAUGAUUCCUUACCUGGGCAUAUGUCUAGGCAUGCAAAUUGCUGUUAUCAAGUAUGAUAGAUCCAUUCUUGGGUUGCAAGAUGGGAACAGUACAGAGUUUGAUCCAACACCAACAGUCCUUGGGGUUCAAAAGCGCAUAGGAGACAUACCCUGCGUCUUGGAUCAAGAAGAACGUAUUUUCAAGUCAAAGAUUCUAAAUCUGCAAAACUGUAUGAUGUAACAAUUUGAAGAUGCUGGCCUUACUUUCAGUGGCAAAGAUGAAAGUGGUUGUUGCAUGGGGGUGAACGUUUUAUAUAAUUGAAUUACUAAGUCAUGAUUGAUACUCGUAGUGUUGUUAUUGGUUUUAUUAUAAUUGAACUAUGAAGCCAUCGAUCAUGCUAGAUGCAUUAUUGGGUUUCAAGAUGCGAACAGUACAGUGUUUGAUCCCAACACUGACAAUCCUUGGGGUUCAGAAGCGCAUAUGAGAGGUACCAUGCAUCUUGGAUCAAGAAGAGCUUAUUUUCAAGUCAAAAGAUUCUAAAUCUGCAAACUGUAAAUACUUCCUUUCCUCCAAGCUCACUGCAUUGGCUAUAUAUUGAUCUGAGGAUCUGAAGCCAUUCUGGAGGACUUCUGCUAUCGAUAUUACUGAGUGGAUAAACUAUAUCUUUCUCAGAUUUGGUAAUCGGAGCUUUGUAGGAUGAGAGGCACCGUCAUAAAUUAUGUGCCACUCAUGCCAGGUAUAGUGUGGUAAUGAAACUUGUUAACAUCUGAAAUAGCAAAUUACAAGCUCAAGGGGAGUGCACACGUUCACGCAAUGGGAGUCAAAAGAAGUGACGAAUGAGGAUGACCUGCUUCGCCGACGUGCUUCUCCUUCUCCUUGCCACUGCUGUCCAGUCCGUUUGGGAUUCAUCUGAGUUGUCUUAAUAAAUUGAAUGCAAUCAUUGGUGCAUUCAAGCUUUCAGGAUACAUCUCAGGUCCUGAUCAUUACACAGUGAAGGUAUACAUGCCCAAAUCGAUGGAGUUUAGGAAACAAAUGGGUGGAAGCUGUUAUAGUUCCUGGAGGAUUUUGGUGAUGGAUGUGUAGAGGGUAAAAUACUUGCUGCCAAAUAUGCCUGUGUAAACAGGAUUCCUUACCUGGCAUAUGUCUAUGCAUGCAAAUUGCUGUUAUCGAGUAUGAUAGAUCCAUUCUUGGGUUGCAAGAUGCGAGCUGUACAGAGUUUGAUCCCAACACCGACAAUCCUUGGGUAAUUUUUAUACCGGAAGUUAAGUUCAGAUACUUCUCCUUCAACAUGAAAUUCCCUCAUGAUCCUCAUGAGGUCUCAUUUUAGUAGUGGCUCUAUUAAUCUGUAGACCAUGUUCACAGGGUUCAAAAGCACAUAUGAGAGGUACCGUGUGUCUUCUAUCAAGAAGAACGUAUUAAGUCGAAGCUUCUAAAUCUGCAAAACUAUAUUUGAAGAUGCUGGCCUUUCUUUCACCGGCAAAGAUGAAAGUGGUCGCCACAUGGAGGUAUAUAUUUCUAUAGGCUUUGGGACUUGCUAUGUUAAGGUGGAUGACAAUGCAUGCUGCAGAUGAGCGAAUCAGUUUGGAAGAACUUCAUGAGAAGGUCUUAUCUGGACAAAAGAGGACAACAACCUAUCUUGAUUUCGAGCAUGAAGCAAUCAUGCCUGAAACUGGUUACCAAUUAUUACACAACUAUGCGGACUAAAUUCAAAAUUGGAGUUUGAUCUGCAAAGUUCAUUCUCAAGCUUCAAUAUCAUCUACCAGGAUUAUGAAGUGACAUGAACUAUUAGGACAUAAGAAUUGAGAUUAGGUAUUAUUGGGAAUAAAGAUACACUGUAUAGUAAAUGCACAAAGGAUGGGAGAAAUUGUUUGCGUAAUCAGUAAAGGUUGAAUGUAAUAUGGAUGAUUUGUACAUGGAUGGAGAAAUCCUCAGCAUUCUCUAACAUUGAAUGGAAGGAGCAGAAACCGCACUGGCUCAUGGAUCAGGUGCUGGAAUACUUUUUGAUUUAUUGCCCAUCUGUGUAGCUAUUUUAGUGGCUUAGUGUAGAGAUUCUAUACAUUGGUGCUUUUAUGGAGUUUACAUUGCAAUGCCAUUCUUUUUUAUAAAUGCUGUACUGUUAAUUGCAAAAGACCGGUAUAUGUAUCAACUAUCAAUUAUACUACUCAGACAUCUACUCUGUCCCUCCAGCGUAUCUUCUCUUUGUAGGAGCAAGUUUUUGGUUGUUAUUUCGUGAGCAGGUCGCUUGGAUUAGUUUCUAUGUGGAAUAGUUGCUUGAAAAUCCAAAAUGAAAUGAACAGGCACCUCUCUUUAUCUGGUAACAUUAGGUAUUCCCCUCCCAGUAGUAAAAAUUUAUAGCUUCACAACCUGUCAACCCGACUAGGAAUUCCGCCGACUAUGCAAGCUCCUUCAAAUUUCUUUCAAGCUGCUCAUAUGACAGCUCUUAAGCAGGGAAGUUUGCAGACCGUUGUUCUCUUGGCUACGCUGCCACCUGAUGGAUCACUAAUUGAAGUGACCAAGGGAGUUGAAGCCUCUCAUAAGUUGCCUUGAGGGAACUUGAAUGUGGUCCUGGAACGAGAUAUUGCGACAUAAAUGAGCCUCUCUUUAGAACCAAGCGCUUCUAUGAAUUCCCCUCUUCCCUUGUUUUUUGCCGUUCCAUGGUAUGACAGAUCGGGCAAAAUAAGACCUGAAACAUGGGCAGGUGUCUUGGACUCAGAAGCCCCUCUGUUAAGUCCUCGUUUUUUAAUUUGCUUAGACAUGAUUUCUGAUUUACAAGUCUAUUUGAUGACCCACCACUGCAGGUUGUUGAUCACUAUAUUUGAUGAAUGAAAUUGGUACAUUUUCCAGCAUGGAGGGAACGUUUUCAUUGUUCAAGCUUGAGCUCUUACCCAACAAUUUGUUGAAUCAUAUUUUUAAGUGAUUUCUCGUAAGACUUAUUUUAUAGCAUGUUCGAGUUAUACCACCCUGAAUUUCUAUUAUUUAUUUUUUACUUUCUAAUGCUUAUGGAUUCUACCAUGUUUAUUGCUCAAAAUCUUAUAUCUAGAGAUAUUCCUAGGUUGAGUAUGGUGGUUAACAAAACUCUACACAUGGGUUUAAUUCCUGAAACUUGGUCAUUUUGUUUUACCUAUCCAAUCUCAAUGAUAUAAUUAAUUGAGUUGUUAAUUUAAGAUUAGUAAUUGUAUGAAGCAAUUAAAGCAAUGGAGGUUUUAGUAUCUCAUUUAUUUGAAGGCUAAUCUUUUAUUUUUUAGAAAACUCCAUACCUAAGUUGUGAGUUAUUUUUAUUUAUUUUAUGUAUAUAGACAUCUCUUUGCAUCAUUUUGUAAUCAUGUCCGUAACAACUUAUUUGACAAUUAUUUGAUCUGGUUGUAUAAUUUAAUUUGUGGUGUAUUUGAGAUAAUUAAAAAUAUAUAUUAACAUUUAAAAUAAUUGAAAUACUCAAGUAUACAAAAAUAAUAUUUAAUUUGUUGUUGCACGAAUUAUGAGUUAUUUUUCUAGUUUAAGUGAAAUAAAGUAAUAUUAAUAUGUUGAAAGUUUAUGAGAUUAUGGUCAAUAGAAAUGGAUGCAUAGUUCGACUAUGAAUUUGAAUUACAAUUGUUUUGGGCUAAAUUUUAUAGUUAUAAUUUUUAAAAAGUCUAUUUACUAUGUAUAAAGUAGGAUAAAAGUUUUGAAUUAUAAAUUUCAUAGUCUAAAUUGACCUAUUUAAAGAUGAUAACAAAUUUCAUGUAAGUUAUAUAUAAUCAAUGGAAUAAACUCUUUUUUUUAAUUAAAAGAAUAAAUAAGUACUACUGAAAAAAUUACUAUAAAAAAAUAAUAUAUUUUGUAUUAACGCGUUUAUAUUUUUCCGCGUGUUCAAAUGCUAUAAAAAGGCCCCUCUGUACUCUUCAGUCUUCAUAACGCUACCGGAGUACGCAACCAGAACUUCACAUGCCGGAGUACGCAACCGGAUGAAAACCCAUAAACCCGCCGUCGAGUAAUAUUUCUGCUUUCCCAUUAUCUUGAUUUUCCUGGACUUCUUGCCUGCAUUCUUGGAUUUUUGAAGUUACUUUGGUAUUCUUAUAUGCAUGUUUAAGGAAAUUAAAGAAAUUGUAGUUUUCAAGAAUAUAUGAGUACAGGAAAUUCAAGAAAUCUUUUUUCUUUCUUUAAAAAAUCAAGAAUUUGUUUAACUUUUUCAGUGGAGAUGGGGGAUGAAUGCCGGAGGCUAUUUCUGUCGGGGUUUUCUUGAAUGAUUUCGCAAGGCUUGUUGAGGUUUUGUUUUUAAACAGACUCGAUGCUGGGCAUCACCAAGGUUUACUAAUUUACCCUUUCAAAGAGCUGUAAGGAGACUGCAUCAUUCCGCAGAAGUUAUCUGGUCGGAGCUUCCAUGGCUGUCAUCCCAUCAAUGUGAUCAAUCUUCCAUCCCAAGUUGUGGUGACAGUGUAUUCUCUGAUGUAAGGCCAAGUGUGAAAAUAAAACUUGUCAACAUCUGAAAUAGCAAAUUACAAGCUUAAGGGGAGUGCACAAGUACAGGCGAUGGGGAGUCAAAAGAUGGUAAACCAUUCUUGCUGAUGGCUCAUAGGCAAACUGAUGCUUGCAGCCAUGCUGGAUUUCAAAGCUUUUGAGAUUCGUAUUUUGGCAUCGCAAAGUUCAAUUUUUUUUGUCACUAAAUCACCUUUUUGGUGAAACUACACGGCCUUCUACUUUUUUGUUCUUAUUACUCUAUCUGGUAUAACUCAAAAAACUAUUUAACAUGUUAUCUCUUAGAGCUGAAAAACUGUUGCUUAGCAUGGCACCUCGGGUGGGGUAUAUGAGUUUUAAGAAUAAGUUCCAUUUCAUGAUGCAUCUUCUCUGUCUUAUAAGGCUGAUACUUGCAGCCAUGACAGAUUUGAAAGCUUUUGAGCUGAUUCCAUGUUUUGGUUUGGCAAAAUUCACUCUCCCCCCCCCCCACCACCACCACCAAACCAACCUUUUCAUGAAAUUACGCAUGACCUUCCUCUUUACUUAUUCUUGUUACUCUCUCUGCUCCAUUAUAUAAACCAUGUGAAUGUGGAGGUUUUGUCUUCCGUGGAAGUUCAAUAAAACUUUGUAUGAUUUCUCAAGGGUUGUUGAGGAGUUGGUUUUAGCAGCCUUGAUGCAGGUACCACUAAGGUUUACUAAUUCACCCUUCCAAAGCUUCUUUCAUCUUCUGUUGUGCUUCCUUUUCGCCUGGCCAUUUUAACUGUGGUUUGGUAUGGUUGCUUUACACCUGCGACAUCAAAAUACUGUCAUUCAGAUGAUAUGCAUGCUUUCACAGCAAGCUUUGGCCUUAAGGAGAGGUUCUGAGCUCUACUUCUGACGUUUCUUUGUCGGAAAUUGUUACCAAAACUCACUCGAGGCCAAAUGGAUAUUGUAAGGUUUUGAAGGGCAAGUGUUUGUACCUUGGAAUUAAUUAUUGUAGACAAGAUGUUGGUACAACAGGUAAUUUGGUAUAAGCCUAUCUGAUACAGAAUUGACUGGUGUUUGCCAAUAAGGAACUUCGGUGGGAUUUUUCUCUUUGCAGUCAUUGUUCGUGAUGUAUUUUAACCAACCAGUUUGAAGGAAGCAAAUGCACUCCAACUGUUUGUAGUUUUCUCACAAUUCAAACAAACAAAAAAUAUUGAUUUACUUGCUUCACUUCUAUAUAACUAUACUUUGUCUUGAUUGAUCUUUUGGUUUGCAUAUAUAAUCUGGAAGCCCAAAGAGAGCCUUGCAUUCUCUACUAAGAAUCGCCCUUGUGCAUCCCCAGUGUCUCCUUCAAAAUUGUUCAUAUUGAAAGGUCUGUCUCUGCUAUACCAGCUUACUGGUUUCUCAGAUUUCAUUUGCAUGCCGUGAGGAUGACUGCUUUGCACACAUGCUUCUCCUUCCCCAUUGCUGCUAUUGUCCAGUGGAUUUGGGAAUCAUCUGAGUUCCCUUAAUAAAUUGAAUGCAAGUGAUGGUUCAUUCAAGCUCUAAGGAUACAUCUCAGGUCUUGAUAUUUACACAGUGAAGGUAUGCCGGCGCAAAUUGAUGGAUAAGAGAUGUGAUAAGUUAUCUUUUCUACACUUUGUUUCCCCAAGUACCACUGUUUAAUUUGCAGGUCCUUCAAUAUUUCUGUAUCCACUUGUUUCAAUAUGUUUUUCUGUCCAAACAAAACAGUAAACUAAACUUCGGUUAACAUUUACUAUA